UGGCCAAAGAUGAGAAAUCUAAUCUGACUGGAUACGCUUCUGUUCUGAUGGGUUAAAGGAUUUACCUGAGGCCA